rnacentral:rRNA from 1 species
UGGGGAAUUUUGGACAAUGGGCGCAAGCCUGAUCCAGCAAUGCCGCGUGCAGGAUGAAGGCCUUCGGGUUGUAAACUGCUUUUGUACGGAACGAAACGGUCCUUUCUAAUACAAGGGGCUAAUGACGGUACCGUAAGAAUAAGCACCGGCUAACUACGUGCCAGCAGCCGCGGUAAUACGUAGGGUGCGAGCGUUAAUCGGAAUUACUGGGCGUAAAGCGUGCGCAGGCGGUUAUGUAAGACAGAUGUGAAAUCCCCGGGCUCAACCUGGGACCUGCAUUUGUGACUGCAUAGCUAGAGUACGGUAGAGGGGGAUGGAAUUCCGCGUGUAGCAGUGAAAUGCGUAGAUAUGCGGAGGAACACCGAUGGCGAAGGCAAUCCCCUGGACCUGUACUGACGCUCACGCACGAAAGCGUGGGGAGCAAACAGGAUUAGAUACCCUGGUAGUCCACGCCCUAAACGAUGUCAACUGGUUGUUGGGUCUUCACUGACUCAGUAACGAAGCUAACGCGUGAAGUUGACCGCCUGGGGAGUACGGCCGCAAGGUUG